rnacentral:rRNA from 2 species
CAAGUCGAACGGCAGCACGAGAGCUUGCUCUUGGUGGCGAGUGGCGGACGGGUGAGUAACGCGUAGGAAUCUACCCAAUAGCGGGGGGAUAGCCCGGGGGAAACUCGGAUUAAUACCGCAUACGCCCCACGGGGGAAAGGCCGGGGAUCUUCGGACCGGUCACUAUUGGAGGAGCCUGCGUAGGAUUAGCUAGUUGGUGAGGUAAAGGCUCACCAAGGCGACGAUCCUUAGCCGGUCUGAGAGGACGAUCAGCCACACUGGAACUGAGACACGGUCCAGACUCC